CCUAACACAUGCAAGUCGAACGGCACCUUCGGGUGUAGUGGCGGACGGGUUAGUAACGCGUGGGAACGUACCCUUUUCUACGGAAUAGUCUCGGGAAACUGAGGUUAAUACCGUAUACGCCCUUUGGGGGAAAGAUUUAUCGGAGAAGGAUCGGCCCGCGUAAGAUUAGAUAGUUGGUGGGGUAAUGGCCUACCAAGUCUACGAUCUUUAGCUGGUUUGAGAGGAUGAUCAGCAACACUGGGACUGAGACACGGCUCAGACUCCUACGGGAGGCAGCAGUGGGGAAUCUUAGACAAUGGGCGCAAGCCUGAUCUAGCCAUGCCGCGUGAGUGAUGAAGGCCUUAGGGUCGUAAAGCUCUUUCGCCUGUGAAGAUAAUGACGGUAGCAGGUAAAGAAACCCCGGCUAACUCCGUGCCAGCAGCCGCGGUAAUACGGAGGGGGUUAGCGUUGUUCGGAAUUACUGGGCGUAAAGCGCACGUAGGCGGAUCAGAAAGUUGGGGGUGAAAUCCCGGGGCUCAACCUCGGAACUGCCUCCAAAACUACUGGUCUUGAGUUCGAGAGAGGUGAGUGGAAUUCCGAGUGUAGAGGUGAAAUUCGUAGAUAUUCGGAGGAACACCAGUGGCGAAGGCGGCUCACUGGCUCGAUACUGACGCUGAGGUGCGAAAGCGUGGGGAGCAAA
rnacentral:rRNA from 1 species